AAAGUACUUUUAUACUGUUCCUGAUGCACGAUAAACUUUUGUGAUGUUCUUGUCUGGGCACAAGUUUAAGGUUUGAGUGCUGAAAUUUCAAUUCAUGUUGACUGACACCAGAGCGUUUACACUUCUACACAAGUUGAUUCUACAAUAUGAUUACCUAUAUCUGACGGGGGACUGAUUCCAUAGACUAUUGAGGAGAUCCUGCAAGGUAUCGCUUUAGAGGAUAAGACCUACUUUAUGAACAAAGAGAACAAAAUUGAAACACAAAGAGUUUUCUGUGCUCGAAUAUUCCAUAUCUCUGGUCAUUACAUUCCCCAACAUCCAACCAUUCAGGAAUAAAGAAAUUUGUAUUGGUAUGAAAGGAAAUGGCUUAAACUAUUACAAGGUAAUCUGUUCUUUCCUGAGAAUAAGAAUUACGGAAACCAAUGUAAUAUAGUUUUUAAACGCAAUUUCGUUAUGUAUUUAAAUCAAACUUACUUUAAAUAGAAAGUCUCUUAUUGGC